rnacentral:rRNA from 1 species
CCUACGGGCGGCAGCAGUGAGGAAUAUUGGUCAAUGGGCGCGAGCCUGAACCAGCCAAGUCGCGUGAGGGAAGACGGUUCUAUGGAUUGUAAACCUCUUUUGUCGGGGAGCAAAUGACGCCACGCGUGGCGUUCCGAGAGUACCCGUAGAUAAAGCAUCGGCAAACUCCGUGCCAGCAGCCGCGGUAACACGGAGUAUGCGAGCGUUAUCCGGAUUUAGUGGGUUUAAAGGGUGCGCAGGCGGAAGGUCAAGUCAGCGGUAAAAUUGAGAGGCUCAACCUCUUCGAGCGGUUGAAACUGGUUUUCUAGAGUGAGCGAGAGGUAUGCGGAAUGCGUGGUGUAGCGGUGAAAUGCAUAGAUAUCACGAAGAACUCCGAUUGCGAAGGCAGCAUACCGGCGCUCAACUGACGCUCAUGCACGAAAGUGUGGGUAUCGAACAGGAUUAGAUACCCCUGUAGUC